ensembl:lncRNA
GCCUGACGACAGGGAGCUGACAGGGUGUAGCAAACAGUGCACACAGAGCGGCGCAGCAGGGGGGCAGUUUGGCCAGCCAAGGACAGACAUGUUGACACUCUCCCGCAUUUCAAGAAUCUUGGAUCGUCACUUUAUAGGGCACAUAAAUCUGUUUUCCAAUGAAGGAACAACAACACCACAGUGGAAAUGGGCAGAUUGGUUUCUUGUGGCUCUGAUAGAAAAAUAAUCCCCACUGUACUCCCUGCAAAAGUUGUUUACAUGCCAGAGGAACCACUUCAGCCUCUCUGCAAAGAAAGAGGAAAAAACACGGCGAGAGAAAAAAGGAGAAAUGAUUUGGUGUUUUCAGAAACUUUAAUGAGUGCACCUCGUCUUAUGUGUUACACAUGAUAAGAUGUAUUUGAUAAACCUUGCAAAACCAGCGACAAAACACAGCUGCUAAACCAUUUCCAUCAAGACAGAAAGAUAUAUUUAUGAAUACGUUUAGCUUACUGUGCACAACAGGAAACGUUGCAGAGAUGUGAUGUGAAGCAGGACUCCUGAUGAGCUCAGUGGAAGCAGCCAGGGAAGCAGGUCCUGAUGAAAAGUGCAUGAG